GAGAUUUCUAAAGUAUAUAAGAGUAGAAUUAAAGGAAAUGCAGUUUUUUUUUGGUAAACUGUUGUAUAUACAAUUUUUUUUUUUUUUUUUUUUUAAGAGAGAUAGAUAGCAUGCUAAUUACUUUCUUUAUUUUAUUUAGAAAUAAAUUUAACCGACAAUAUGAAUCAAUAAGGAUUUGAACUCGGGACAUCAGAUACCAAUCACUAAAUCCUUUGUCAUUGGCGCUAGGAACGGUCGGUGUUGUAUAUACAAAUUAUUGAUGUAUUUACAUGUAUGAUCCCAAGAUAUUUGACAGAUUGAUUUAUUUUUAUAUACCAUUCGUGUAUGUUUAUAUUGUGACACAGUAGAGAAUAGAUUAUGAGAUAUGAUAGGAUAAUUUUUUUUAAUCUGCUAUAGUAGUGCUGGCGGUGACUAAAUUCAAGAGGUUUAAGAGGGUCUAUUAUCAUGUUCGAAUUAGAAUGGUUCUAGAAUAGCUGGAGGAAUGGUGUCUUGAAAAGUGGAGCGUCACAGCUGGUUUCAGAAUUAAUCACAAUCGAAAGUGUGAAAUAAAUUUCGAUUGAGCCAAGAUUAUAUAGCGAGCAGAGCGUGGCUCUUUGGCUGGGUGGAGCAUGACUUUGCACAAGAUUGAUUAUGACUAGCGAGAUAAGUCUCACAUUCUCUGGUGCUUGCGAAUAUGUCUGAAAGUUUGACGAGAACGUCAGAGCUUAAAAGAUGAAAAAAAUAUAACACUUCGGAUUUGUAUAGUUCAAUAUAUGCGAUAUAAUAUAAUUAAAUUUUUUAAUUUAGCUAUAAUAUUUUAGAGAUUAAGUGUGCUAAAAUUAAAGUAGCUUUAAAAUAGGUGACAUCAUGAA
rnacentral:lncRNA from 1 species